rnacentral:rRNA from 1 species
GACGAACGCUGGCGGCGUGCUUAACACAUGCAAGUCGAACGGAAAGGCCCUGCUUUUGUGGGGUGCUCGAGUGGCGAACGGGUGAGUAACACGUGAGUAACCUGCCCUUGACUUUGGGAUAACUUCAGGAAACUGGGGCUAAUACCGGAUAGGAGCUCCUGCUGCAUGGUGGGGGUUGGAAAGUUUCGGCGGUUGGGGAUGGACUCGCGGCUUAUCAGCUUGUUGGUGGGGUAGUGACUUACCAAGGCUUUGACGGGUAGCCGGCCUGAGAGGGUGACCGGCCACAAUGGGACUGAGAUACGGCCCAGACUCCUACGGGAGGCAGCAGUGGGGAAUAUUGCACAAUGGGCGGAAGCCUGAUGCAGCAACGCCGCGUGCGGGAUGACGGCCUUCUGGUUGUAAACCGCUUUCGCCUGUGACGAAGCGUGAGUGACGGUAAUGGGUAAAGAAGCACCGGCUAACUACGUG